AGCGUAGAAAAGGAAAAGGCUGGCACAGCGUCAGACGUGUUUAUUUUACACCGCGUGGAUGAUAACUCGAUGUCUGUGAAUCGGCAUGAUAAAAUAUCUACCUUAAGAUAACGAACGUCAGGUGAACACAAAUGAUAAACUUGAUGCUGAUAUAGAUCUUAGUAUGAAACAGUCUGAAUAUGGAGCCAAAUUGUCUACGGAUCCUGAUGACAAGAACAUGGCCAUGCAUGCAGGGGCCAGGGUGAACAAAAAUUUAGCCAUUCAACGAGUUCUUGCUGCUGGUGCCGCGAUGAGAUAAAACAGUAAUUUUGGCCUAAGAAUGCUGGAGUCGAAUAUACUUGCUACUCAAAAUUGAACGCGGUGGUCAGUCACAAGUGACACACAUGCAGAAGCGUGGUUAUGUAUCUUAAUACUUUGUGUUAGUCAGCAUGACGUAAAACGAAAGUCGCAUGCAGGGAAACUAAUUAAUGAAGUUUUCGGUAAUUUGUAUUUCUAAGAUGAAGACAAAUUGCCUAAGAAUUGUGUUAAUAUAUGGAUCAUAAUGAAAGCGAUAGAUCAUAAAUAAUUCCUUUAUAUACAUCACAAGAUAAUAUACUGU